rnacentral:rRNA from 1 species
GAUGAACGCUGGCGGCGUGCUUAACACAUGCAAGUCGAACGGACUUUUAAUGAAGCCUAGCGAUUUAAAAGUUAGUGGCGGACGGGUGAGUAACGCGUGGGUAACCUGCCUUAUACAGGGGGAUAACACUUAGAAAUAGGUGCUAAUACCGCAUAAGCGCACAGUAUCGCAUGAUACAGUGUGAAAAACUCCGGUGGUAUAAGAUGGGCUCGCGUCCGAUUAGAUAGUUGGUGAGGUAACGGCCCACCAAGGCGACGAUCAGUAGCCGACCUGAGAGGGUGACCGGCCACAUUGGGACUGAGACACGGCCCAAACUCCUACGGGAGGCAGCAGUGGGGAAUAUUGGGCAAUGGGCGAAAGCCUGACCCAGCGACGCCGCGUGCGGGAAGACGGUCUUCGGAUUGUAAACCGCUUUUAUUAGGGACGAUAAUGACGGUACCUAAUGAAUAAGCCACGGCUAACUACGUG